UACGUAGGGGGCGAGCGUUGUCCGGAAUCAUUGGGCGUAAAGAGCGUGUAGGCGGCUUGGCAAGUCUGACGUGAAAGCCCGCGGCUCAACCGCGGAUUGUCGUUGGAAACUGCCUCGCUAGAGUCCGGAAGAAGAGAGCGGAAUUCCUGGUGUAGCGGUGGAAUGCGCAGAUAUCAGGAAGAACACCCGUGGCGAAGGCGGCUCUCUGGGACGGUACUGACGCUGAGACGCGAAAGCGUGGGGAGCGAACAGG
rnacentral:rRNA from 1 species